AACUGCUGCUUUAGAAGAUGGCUAAAAAUAGCUUAGGCUUAAGUAGUCUCAGGCUAACUCAUACACUGUUAACCCCCCACCCUGCCAGGGGCAGGCCCAAUCUGCCAACCGCAGGACAGAUUCUUCCAGACUUCUGUAAGAGGUAGCAGAGUCUUUAGCUUUUCAGAAGAAGGCUUAGUGAUCCAAAUAAGUCCCUGGCGGUGGUCAGGAGAGCUCAGUUUUAAUCUUGUGGUCGAAAAACUAAUCUUAGACCAGUCCUCUACCCUUCGUAUUGGUAUUGCUCACUGUCUGCAUUACUAUGGAAAAUUACGCAUUGUUUGUAUGGAUACUGCAGGAAGAACGAGGGCGCUGCAGCCAUAGGCCAGCACUAGGCAACAGCCCUGCAGCCCAGUGAGUCCAGUGAGGGCAUGGGGCAUGACUGGAGACUGAGGCAUCGGAGGAGGAGGAGCAGUGAGCAUGGCCUGGGAAGGAGCUGGCAGCAAGCAGCACAGAGGAUGCGAUUCUACUGAUGAGAAUCUGUGUGUGAUAAGAAUAACUUGAUACAAAGAGCUUGAAACUCUGACCUUGGUACAGCAAUUUGGCUGGACAGCAAGAAAAGCUACUUCUCAAAUUCAUGCCAAGGCACUCAAAGGAUGUGACAGGAAGAAAAGAGAGAUAGCCGUUCUGACACCAAAUUUGAGUGCCAGUCAUUCCAUUGUCUGGGGAACAGCCAGCAAUAGACAAACGUAAUUAACUACUAAUGAAUGCAACUUUAUCUGGUACCUUCGGAAGGUGGCGUCUGUUUUAAGAAAAAUCACCCCUGGAGAAAUAAGUGUUGACUGACCGCUGUCACAAGGAGAGGGUCAUAAAUUGUCAGCAGGCCCCCCUGGCCAGAAGAUGAUGUAACACCCCUAAGACCUCUGUAUACAUUUGUAUGAAGCACCUGACUUUGAUAAAAGUUAGGACUGCUGACCCCGCGUGACUUUUGUAUAACAUCUCAGUGUAUAAAAACAGACUCUGGAAAAUAAAGAAUUGGGAUCAGUUCCUCGAAAUACUGGUCUCCCCAUGUCGUUCUCUCUCUCUCAAACUCUGGCUGAGUCUCCAUCUGGAGCGCGGAGCCCGCCGUGCUUACUAAUUAUGCCUGGGCUUCUAAGAUCCGACCGGGGAGGCCUCAGUGUCUCCUCUCCUUUGGGAGAACGGAAGGAUGUCUGCGGCCUAUGUAAGUGGUGCAAGCUUCUUGUCUUGAAGUUUUAUUGGUUUCCCACAUAAACCAAGCUACUCAGCCUCUUUUCUCCACUGAAUUUUCCUGCUGAGCUAUCCUCAUUCUUUUACUCUUUAUAUCUCUAAUUAAUAUUUAAAUAAGUUGCUGAUGCCGUCCCUGGUUCGAAUACACUGGAUCAACUGGGGCUGGACCCUGGCAUAUUUCCUCUCUGCUCCACAAUGCUCUUUGUCAUUUCCCUCUCUGUUGCUUACUUCUCACUACCUGCAUCAGCCUCAUUACUAUUCCUCACUCAUUUCAAGCAGAGUAAAUAUUCAAGGCCUUUGUGCUUGUGCUUGUCUCUGUCUUUGUUCUGUGCGUGGGCCAGGCUGUGUGUUAGGUUGUUAGAUUAGGCCUUCUGAGAUUCCCAAACUCCCCACAGACCCACCUGUGAGAGGGGUUCCUACUGUGUGGAAACUUUUUUCUCCUUCAUGACUCCCUCCUCAGGACAGGUCUGUGUCCCUAACUCUUUUGACUCUCUUUUUGCCUUUUAUAAGCUAGCUGGCUACCUACCAGCCCCUACCUGUCUUU
ensembl:lncRNA